rnacentral:rRNA from 1 species
UACGUAGGUGGCAAGCGUUAUCCGGAUUUAUUGGGCGUAAAGGGAACGCAGGCGGUCUUUUAAGUCUGAUGUGAAAGCCUUCGGCUUAACCGGAGUAGUGCAUUGGAAACUGGGAGACUUGAGUGCAGAAGAGGAGAGUGGAACUCCACGUGUAGCGGUGAAAUGCGUAGAUAUAUGGAAGAACACCAGUGGCGAAAGCGGCUCUCUGGUCUGUAACUGACGCUGAGGUUCGAAAGCGUGGGUAGCAAACAGG